rnacentral:miRNA from 1 species
AUUUGCAAAGUUUUAAAAAACUUGAAAAUUAUUUGAUACUUUGUUUUAUUAAUUCAAAUUGAAGGAUAAUCAUAAAAUCAUUCCAUAUAUUGAUUUGAAUUAAUAAAAUGAAGUAUCAAAUAAUUUUCAAAUUUUUUACAAUUUUACAGAU